rnacentral:rRNA from 1 species
ACCUGUUCCCAUGUCGAACACAGAAGUCAAGCUUCUUAACGCCGAGAGUAGUUGGGGGAUCGCCCCCUGCGAGGGUAGGACGUUGCCAUGC